AUUAUACCGUGAAACUGCGAAUGGCUCAUUAAAUCAGUUAUCGUUUAUUUGAUAGUACCUUACUACUUGGAUAACCGUGGUAAUUCUAGAGCUAAUACAUGCUAAAAACCUCGACUUCGGAAGAGGUGUAUUUAUUAGAUAAAAAACCAAUGCCCUUCGGGGCUCUUUGGUGAUUCAUGAUAACUUCUCAGAUCGCAUGGCCUUGCGCCGGCGACGGUUCAUUCAAAUUUCUGCCCUAUCAACUUUCGAUGGUAAGGUAUUGGCUUACCAUGGUUUCAACGGGUAACGGGGAAUUAGGGUUCGAUUCCGGAGAGGGAGCCUGAGAAACGGCUACCACAUCCAAGGAAGGCAGCAGGCGCGCAAAUUACCCAAUCCCGACACGGGGAGGUAGUGACAAUAAAUACUGAUACAGGGCUCUUUUGGGUCUUGUAAUUGGAAUGAGUACAAUUUAAACCUCUUAACGAGGAACAAUUGGAGGGCAAGUCUGGUGCCAGCAGCCGCGGUAAUUCCAGCUCCAAUAGCGUAUAUUAAAGUUGUUGCAGUUAAAAAGCUCGUAGUUGAACCUUGGGCCUGGCUGGCAGGUCCGCCUCACCGCGUGUACUUGACCGGCCGGGCCUUUCCUUCUGGAGAACCUCAUGCCCUUCACUGGGUGUGCUGGGGAACCAGGACUUUUACUUUGAAAAAAUUAGAGUGUUCAAAGCAGGCCUUUGCUCGAAUACGUUAGCAUGGAAUAAUAGAAUAGGACGUGCGGUCCUAUUUUGUUGGUUUCUAGGACCGCCGUAAUGAUUAAUAGGGACAGUCGGGGGCAUCAAUAUUCAAUUGUCAGAGGUGAAAUUCUUGGAUUUAUUGAAGACUAACUACUGCGAAAACAUUUGCCAGGGAUGUUUUCAUUAAUCGGUGGACGAAGGUUAGGGGAUCGAGGACGAUCAGAUACCGUCGUAGUCUUAAACGUAAACUAUGCCGACAAGGGAUCGGGGGAUGUUUCUACUUGGAAUCGGUGGGGACCCUACGAGAAAUCAAAGUUUUUG
rnacentral:rRNA from 1 species